rnacentral:rRNA from 1 species
UACGUAGGGACCGAGCGUUGUCCGGAAUCAUUGGGCGUAAAGAGCGUGUAGGCGGCCUGUUAAGUCUUGCGUGAAAUCUCGGGGCUCAACCCCGAGCGGUCGUGAGAAACUGGCAGGCUAGAGUGCGGGAGAGGAGAGUGGAAUUCCUGGUGUAGCGGUGAAAUGCGCAGAUAUCAGGAAGAACACCCGUAGCGAAGGCGGCUCUCUGGGACGGUACUGACGCUGAGACGCGAAAGCGUGGGGAGCGAACAGG